AUUGAACGCUGGCGGCAGGCCUAACACAUGCAAGUCGAGCGAGCGGCGGACGGGUGAGUAAUGUAUGGGGACUGCCCGUUAGAGGGGGAAAACUACUGGAAAUGGUAGCCAAUAACGCAUACAAUCGGAUAACCCAUAUGGGAGGAGCUAGUAGGUGAGGUAAGGGCUCACCUAGGCGACGAUCCCUACCUGGUCUGAGAGGAUGAUCGGCCACACGGGAACUGGGACACGGCCCGUACUCCUACGGAGGCAGAGGUGGGGAAUAUUGCACACUGGGCGCACGCCUAUUGCAGCCAUGCCGCGAGUAUGAGGAGUGCCCUAGGGUUGCAAAGUACUUUCAGUCGGAAGACGUUACCGACAGAAGAAGCACCGGCUAACUCCGUGCCAGCAGCCGCGGUAAUAC
rnacentral:rRNA from 1 species